AGGAUUGGGACGCGAACCUGUCACCUAACGGUUUAUCGUCCUCGGCGAUAUAACUUGUUCUACUCGGACUCUGUUGUGGCCUGAAAUUGUACAUAGAGGUUAAAUAAACUCUGCGGUCACGUCGAAAGGUGCAGGGAUUCAAACUGUCAAGUGAUGCAGAAAGCAGACCUGUCUCGGACGACCUGAGGGGUCUGGAUGUUUCAUAAUGGAGCAACAGGUCAGGAGUUGUACGUGGCCGAUUUUGGACAAGUCUGCUGCGAAGGAAAACAUCAGUUGAAGAGUAGAUUCCAGUUUACCAGUUUACCAACCUGCUACCCUGAGAGAGAUCGUGCAGACUGAUUCAUCCUCCACUUCAUGAUGCGAUAUGAGCGUGGCAUGGAGGUGUCUCGGGUUAACUCAGCUGAUCUGAUCAACCGUGGGGAAAGUUGAGGCUGACCACAUUGAUCACGAGCCUGACAGCAUGUCAGUGUGGGAUCAUUCCUCCAGACCACCUACGCUCCUUUAAAUCGUUCUCCCUCCUUGCUGCCCGGUGCGAGAAUAACAAUUGUGGGUGCACAAAUGUGUGUAGAAGCCUGAAGGUCACUCACACACUGAAUAUGAUGAAGUGAGCCUCGCUGAGUCUCUCUAUAGGUCUCCUACUUCUCAAUUUCAUCUCGCUACCCGCCAGCCUCUCUCUAGUUACCUCUUUUAACUUCUAUUUUGCACCGUCUCUCUGCUUCAAUGUCUUUUAUUCUUAGUCUCUCUCUCUCCCCUUCUUUAUUUCACUUCUGUCCAGGGUUUAAGAUGUCAUUGAGAAACCUUGAGAUAGAUGAGGUCUUCACAGGGAGGCAACCAUCAGCUCAUGCACUACAGUGGAGUUAAAAAUGGUAUAAAUCAGAGAAUAUGAUCAGGAAUGACAGUGCUAUUUGCCUUGGAAAGCCCAUAAACCCUAAUGCAAUAAUGUUUGCAGGAAGAAUGGCAUAAGUUGUCAUAAAAUCAAACAUAUGCUCAAUAUGGGCGCCGCGUGUGUGUGAAAUUGAAUAACCUGCAUCAUGUGACAAAGCAGUCCUAAAAAACAAAUUUGAAUCUCUUUUUUUCCCACCCCUCGCUUCAUGGGAUCCAUUUAAAUGCAAUCAGUGGAAAGUAAAAAAAAAAAAAAAAAGGCAUUUCUGUUCGGUUGAAAUAUGUUUCUCAUUAAAGAUGUCAGUGGGAAAGGCAGGGAUGUUGACGCUUUAAUCGUCUUGCUUUCAUAUACACCGUAAUGGGACUUGAAACAGCUGUGU